GGACGGGUGAGUAACGCGUAGGAAUCUACCUAGUAGAGGGGGACAACAUGUGGAAACGCAUGCUAAUACCGCAUACGCCUUUAGGGGGAAAGCAGGGGAUCUUAGGACCUUGCGCUAUUAGAUGAGCCUGCGUGAGAUUAGCUAGUUGGUAGGGUAAAGGCCUACCAAGGCGACGAUCUUUAGCUGGUCUGAGAGGAUGAUCAGCCACACUGGGACUGAGACACGGCCCAGACUCC
rnacentral:rRNA from 1 species